AGGCCAGAGUAAACACAAACCUUGAGCUAUGAGUUACGGUUUCCCUAAUUUCCAGAGAAGAAGGUCACCAAUGGUGGUGAGCUCCAUGGACUUCAACUUCCACAACCAUGGAUCAUACUUGUACAAGAAGCCAGUUACCUCAUCCGGGUUCGUUGAGGUGCACUCUGCAACUAAGCCAUCUUUGGUGGUGGAGGUUAACUCUGCAA
rnacentral:lncRNA from 1 species